UGAAUAAAUAGUGUGGUUUCUACCAUGGGGAUAUUCAGUGCGAACUGAAACCACGCCAAAACAACGCCAAACAUGCAUCUCUCGGUAAUUGUGGCCGCGACGAUUGUCACAUUGCUGCUGCUGGACCCGGUUUCCUGUGGCCAAACAUGUAGAUCGGAUGAAGUGCUUCUGCAAUGCGGCAGCAACACCGAAUGCCACUGUCGCCCCGGAUUAGUCCGGUACGGCCAACAGUGCCUAUCGGAAAAAACGUGCAAACCAGCAAACGACAAAAAGGACUGCAGACGGAACGAAUUGAGUCUAAAGUGCGGAAAGACGACCGGGUGCUUCUGCCGGCCAGGAUACGUGCUCCAUAGAAAUGCUUGCAUCGUAAGAUCCGUGUGCAAAGCUGUGGGAAAAUAAGAAUUAUCAAUGUUGCAACGUCCUAACGCCCUGGUUUUCUGGAAUAGUUUCGCAUUUUUUCAGUUAAUCGUAAGCAGGGAAUAUGUUCUCCUACUGAUGAAGUAAUUAGAUGACAUAAUAAAAAAAAAUGAAAAUGGCAAAGGUAAA